rnacentral:rRNA from 1 species
GACAGAGGGUGCUAGCGUUGUUCGGAAUGACUGGGCGUAAAGGGAGCGUAGGCUGUCCUGUAAGUUAGGUGUGAAAGCCCUGGGCUCAACCCAGGAAUGGCACUUAAAACUGCAGGGCUAGAGAUCGAGAGAGGAAAGUGGAAUUCCUAGUGUAGAGGUGAAAUUCGUAGAUAUUAGGAGGAACACCAGAGGCGAAGGCGGCUUUCUGGCUCGAUACUGACGCUGAGGCUCGAAAGCGUGGGGAGCAAACAGG